AUUGAACGCUGGCGGCAUGCCUUACACAUGCAAGUCGAACGGUAACAGGUCUUCGGAUGCUGACGAGUGGCGAACGGGUGAGUAAUACAUCGGAACGUGCCCGAUCGUGGGGGAUAACGCAGCGAAAGCUGUGCUAAUACCGCAUACGAUCUACGGAUGAAAGCGGGGGAUCGCAAGACCUCGCGCGGACGGAGCGGCCGAUGGCAGAUUAGGUAGUUGGUGGGAUAAAAGCUUACCAAGCCGACGAUCUGUAGCUGGUCUGAGAGGACGACCAGCCACACUGGGACUGAGACACGGCCCAGACUCCUACGGGAGGCAGCAGUGGGGAAUUUUGGACAAUGGGCGCAAGCCUGAUCCAGCCAUGCCGCGUGCAGGAUGAAGGCCUUCGGGUUGUAAACUGCUUUUGUACGGUAACGAAAACGACUACUCUCUAAUACAGGGGUGAAGUGACGGUACCGUAAGAUAAGCACCGGCUAACUACGUAGCCAGCAGCCG
rnacentral:rRNA from 1 species